rnacentral:lncRNA from 1 species
CUUAAUUAACUUUCUCUCCUAUUUAUUAUAAUGAAUCAUUUUGGAAUGGGUUGUUGUAUUUCAUGCUUAUUUAUUGAUUGCUUGACUAAGAAAUUGAUAUAGGUAUUAAUGGAUAUUGAAAAAUGGAUAUUAAUAUCUAACCCUAAAAUACAAGAACACUUGUUAUGAUCAUGCAUAUGGGAAUGUGAGCAUAAUUUGCAUAAUAGGAUAGACAUAUCUCUAUUUGUCUUUUGUAACCAUUGAAAUUAACCUUAACGACCCUAGUCUAGUUAUUUUCACCAUAGAAAUAUUGUGAUUCAUCUAGCUAGGGAUGUGCAUUUUACUGUCGAAAGAGGCUUAUGUGUAUUUACUAUUCUCGGUUGAUCAUUCCUAUAAUUUAUUUGUAAUGUGGAGAGUUAAGAGAAUAGGCGACGCAUUAAGGAAGUUGUGAUCCUAGCUUGACUUUCUUGUGCAACUCGAUCUCUUAUUUUUACUGUUUUUAAGCAUAUAGUUUUUAACACACUUUCUUUAAUCACUUGUUUAAAUAAGACUGUAUUGAACUAAUUUUAGCAUUUGAUUAGCUGUAACACUUUGUCCUUGUGAGUACGACACUCUAUUUUUCAUCUUAUUACUUGUUGACCACGUAUACUUGCGCAUAUUUUAUUGAUCAUGAAA